rnacentral:rRNA from 1 species
UACGAGGGGAGCUAGCGUUAUUCGGAAUUACUGGGCGUAAAGCGCGCGUAGGCGGUUUUUUAAGUCAGAGGUGAAAGCCUGGAGCUCAACUCCAGAACUGCCUUUGAAACUGGGAAACUUGAAUCUUGGAGAGGUCAGUGGAAUUCCGAGUGUAGAGGUGAAAUUCGUAGAUAUUCGGAAGAACACCAGUGGCGAAGGCGACUGACUGGACAAGCAUUGACGCUGAGGUGCGAAAGCGUGGGGAGCAAACAGG